CACUACCGAAUUUUCCAAGGAGAAACAAGGGGGGAUUUCCAGUAUUUCCGGGAAGGGCUGUUGUUGGCCUUGGGGCAUGUGCACGUCCUCGGGAGUUGUAAUGGGUUGGUUCCCCUUGUUCCCUCUAAUACCUCUUGAACACCUUUGUGCACCUUCUUGUAGGUCUCGUCAGUGGGACCUAUGUAUUUUACAUUAAACUCGCAUGUAUACAGAAAGCGUCUAGAAUGAUAAUAUAAUAU
rnacentral:misc_RNA from 1 species